AGUGAACGCUGGCGGUAGGCCUAACACAUGCAAGUCGAACGGCAGCACAGUAAGAGCUUGCUCUUACGGGUGGCGAGUGGCGGACGGGUGAGGAAUACAUCGGAAUCUACUUUUUCGUGGGGGAUAACGUAGGGAAACUUACGCUAAUACCGCAUACGACCUAUGGGUGAAAGCAGGGGAUCUUCGGACCUUGCGCGAUUGAAUGAGCCGAUGUCGGAUUAGCUAGUUGGCGGGGUAAAGGCCCACCAAGGCGACGAUCCGUAGCUGGUCUGAGAGGAUGAUCAGCCACACUGGAACUGAGACACGGUCCAGACUCCUACGGGAGGCAGCAGUGGGGAAUAUUGGACAAUGGGCGCAAGCCUGAUCCAGCCAUACCGCGUGGGUGAAGAAGGCCUUCGGGUUGUAAAGCCCUUUUGUUGGGAAGGAAAAGCAGCAGGUUAAUACCCCGCUGUUCUGACGGUACCCAAAGAAUAAGCACCGGCUAACUUCGUG
rnacentral:rRNA from 1 species